CCGUCGGCCCCUCGCGACGCUAGGUCGAAAACCCCGCCAGGGCCGGGAGGCAGCAACGGUAUCGAUCGACGCGGGCGCCGAGGUCAGCCGG
rnacentral:SRP_RNA from 1 species